GAGAGUGAAAAACCCGGGCCCUGGGAGAAAGAAGCCAGUCCUGGUUCUGAGUGUCAGCGGCAGUGCAGAUGAGCUCACCCGGGGACCAGAGCCAUUUAGAGGAUUUGCAGAUGGAACUUCCCCUCGGGGUCCAACUGUGAGUCACUGUGGUUCCUGUCCCUGCAGCGGGCUCCAUCUCCAGGCCUCCCACUUCACCCUGGGACAUUAUGGUCGCUGGUCAGACCUCAUGACUCACUUGGACUCUUGAGCCACCUCUGGGGGUGGAGUCUCUCUCCUGGCAUCUGGACCCUUGGUGCUAUCGACGAAGCUUGGCUGGCGCUCUUAGCUGCUAUGUGCAAGACGUGUGUCCCAGGGAAAGCCCCUCUCUCUCUGCAGAGGUCAAGUGAAAGCCACGGCCGCAGCCAACAGAGUUCAAAAUGCAGGCUUGGAAAGUCCAGGGGGCUCUGUGGAGGAGAUUAGUCCUGAGAGACUGACACCAGAGCCACCUGACGAAUGUGGGUGCUCAGAGCCUUGGACUCGAUGACCUACCUCUCCUGCCUCCCACCUGACUCCUGAAGUAGGGGAGUGUAUUAACAGUCACAGGCCUCAGUUUACCUGCUUUCAGCCUCUGCCCUUCCCGAGAGGGUUGAAGCUGACUUGCUGCAUCGCAGUUUUGUCCUUUAGUUCAUCAGCUCUGGAACUUUCCACUUCUGGUGUUUUUGGUUUCCAAACAGAGGAUUGAGGACGUAUGAGAGCAAUGUUUAGAAAGAUCAGGUUCAAGUUGCCAGCCAGACUCUGGGCUUCCAGGAGGAGUGGGCUGUGGAUGGCCUGGCCUCAUUUGCAUGUCCCUCUCCUCCCGGCCCUGCAGGUGCCACCUCCUGAGUCCUGGUUCCUGCGGCUCCGUCGAAUCUGCAGUGAAGGCCUUUGGGAAGCGUGGGUUAUGUGGGUCCAGGGGUCCCAUCCUCCCGUGGAGGCCCUUGACCUGAGGAUCACUAACUCACACCCCACCGACUUCCGGCCCCCAACAAGGGCAGUGUUCCUCUUGCUCCAUUCUGCUCUGAAGUCCCCCAAACCGCUUCCUGGGGCUGCUUAGUGAAAUACAAGGCUCAUCUCUGAGGACCUCUACAGGGCUGGUGAGUUGAGCCAGGAGUUCAAAUCUGCUCUGCCUUCUCCUUUCUUUCUCCACGUCUGGAAAAGUACAGAAUGGGCAGCUUCUCCUCUCAGAUCCCAAAAGGCAUGUUUUACUGCUCCUGGGGGAGGCUCAGCCUGGGCACAAGCUAUGUCUACUCCUGCCAGGGCCCUGCCCCUCCACUUCCAAACUGUCAAGCAGGAGGAGGGAGGAUGAUUGAACAGAAAGACACAGGAGUUUUAGUGAGUCAGGCUCCCCAGUGUCCAAAAAGGGACCCAGGGCCCAGGGGGAAGAGACAUCCCUGGUAUUUGUUGCCACCUUUGUAAAACCCUCAAGUGCUGGCAGGCAGCACAGAGGGAGUGGCGAUGCCACUUGCCUGCCUAGUCUAUGGGAGGAAUUGGGACAUGUGCUCCCUGGGUGGCCCUGAGCAAGCCAUCGAACUGCUCCCCCAGAGUUUUCCCCAUCUGUAAAGUGGGAAUAAUAACAACACCUGUCCUGCUUACUUGACAGGGUUUAUGUGAGGCCGGCUGAGAUCACUGAGCAUGUGACAGGGCUUUGGGAGUGGUUAAGGGCCACCCAGAUCGGGGUUGAGGCACCGGGGUGCUUAUGGUGAUUAGCAGCAGAGCAAGGCCUGAGGUCUGUGCUCCCCAGGGAGGGUGGCUUUACAGGCACCCACCUGCGGCUUAAGAGCUUCUUGGGCCUCCCACGGCUGAUAAAUCACCACCGGGUGGGUGUGCUUUGUCUGGGCUCCAGCAUGAGCAGACAGCCUGCCCUUGGCAGCUGCAGAGAGCAGCUCCUCUGCCUUCUCUCCCUUUCUUAGUGGGUUGGGCAGGCGCAAAAAUAGAUCCCAGAACCCCAUCUCUUAGGUUUUGCCAAGGGACCCUCCAACUGCUCAUCUAGACAUUCUGGUGGCAUGGAGUUCCUUUCUCAGGUCACAUAACCAUUGGGGGUGCUGAUUUAGGUGUCUCCUGGCAUAGGAUUUGCCCUGGUUUAUCACCUGCUGCUUCUGCUGCUGCUUUUUAAAAAAAUUGAAGAUGGGGUCUCACCAUGUUGCCCAGGCUGGUCUUGAACUCCCAAGCUCAAGUGAUUCUCCCACCUCAGCCUCCUCAGUAGCUGGGAUUACAGGCUCAUGCGACCAUGCCCUGCUUGUCACCUUGCCAUCAAAGAAGAGAGACUUGCAGAAGAGUGUCAGAUUCUAUCCCAUAGUGCAGUAUACCAAGGAGGUGGUCUGCAAAUGGCCAUUGAAUAUACAAAUAGUCUCAGACUUAGCAUUUUCUUUCUCAUGGUUUAUUUUGCUUUGUAUAGUUCCAUGCAUUUGUUGAAAGGAGGAAGAUUGAGAUUUAAAGGAACAUCCCUAGUGGGAUAAUACCCAUCUGCUUAGUGCCUUUUCAGUGCUCAGCACUGUGCUAAGUUAUUUGAGUACAGUCUUUGUUCUCAUAUUUAAUAAAAUCAGACUCUUUUUGACCACCUCAUUCCAU
ensembl:lncRNA LINC00511 long intergenic non-protein coding RNA 511